rnacentral:piRNA from 1 species
UAAAAAAGGAAAGUUGGAUAUCUAUGAUGA